CUGAGAGUCGGGUCGGAUCUGAAAGAAGGCCGCUUCUCCGGGUUUUACUAGCAGCUUGAGGAAGAGUAAGGAAAGUGCUGGGGAGGCUGUCAGCUACAACCAGUCGGCUUCAGAGAGUACCUCCAAUAUGAGAGAUGCCGUGCUAGACGUGACCCAGUCCAUACAUCCUAUGGAGGAGUAUCAGUUAAUAUUGUCCAGCAGCUCAAGAACCAGGAGGCUGACUGUCAUUGGUGCAGAGGUUGAAUAAGUCAUGCUUCAAGACGCCAUAGCCUGAGGCAGCACCAACACCUGUGAACAAGGUGGAGACCAUCUCUGGAAGCUCUGGGUCUUGCCUCUGGAUGGAGGUUUAAAUUGCACUAGAAGCGAAGUGCCCAGGGAAUUGCGUUGGGAAAUUCCAACUUACCUUUCAAGAUCCAGCUCAGAUGUUACCUUCUCUGCAAACCCAUCCAUG